CCACAGACCACUCAUUUGAGUAUCAAGGAAGUAGACCAAGUGGCUAGCUACAGCUUACACAGCUAGUUGAUGGAGCCUGGACAAGCGGGUACUGCCCUCCCUUCUGCAGAGGAAGAAUUCAGGCUUCCAGCAGCCAAGGGCUUGCUUGCGUGCGGCUGUGUCAGGACUGCAAUUCAAGCCCCUAGUUUCUUGUUCAGGGCUUUCUUCACUCCACGAAGACCAUCAUUCUAACAUCCUACAAAUGUCCGGUGCAAAUGUCUGUGUGAAAUAUAUGCUCUUUUCUGUCUGUUUACUUCAGACUCUGGGGAGAGAUCGGAGAGACAUUAGUAACUUCUUUUUUCUUUCCUCAAGUCCCUGUGACGAAAUGACUGUUUCUGCAGUGCUUGUUUUCUGGGCCCUGGAAAGAUUCCAAAGCUGUCACUGUGUUUUCCAUCUGGCACUUUUUCAAGAAUCUCUCUGCUGCUUCCUGCAGCCUGGAGGUCGUCCUGCAGAGGCCCCUCUACCACCCCUGACAGGCUGGUGGGGCAGGACAUAGGCAUCACGGAGCUGUGCAAUAGGCAGGAACAGCUUGACGAGGGGGCGGGCGCCCCAUUGCGUGCAAACUCACUCCAAGACGGGGAAGCGGCCCCCAGAGACAUGGUUUUCAAAAGUAGAAAACUACCUGCUAAUUUGUUACGGAAACUUUAAGUAUUGAAUGAAUCUAGUGAUUUUUUAAAAUAUAAUUCAACCUAUGGGAAAAAAUCCAGCUUGACUUUCUUGAAACACUCACGGGUCACACUAUUUGGAAAGCAACACUGAAAAGAAACUUUGGAACUUCCAAGGGAAUGUGGAUGGUGAGUGAGCCUCUGCAUUACAGAGUUUGAGCCGUCCCACCUCCCCAAGAACGCUCAGGACCUCAAAGACCCAGCCAGAAAAGACCAAAGAGAUGAUGGAAGUCACAGCUUUGCAGAAACUUCAGAAAAUUUGUGUUUACAAAAGGGUUUGCAAUAAAAGCUGCUGCUCACGUUUUCCUUCUGAAAUAGGUCAAGGAAGUGAAACUCUGGAAGGUAACUCACAGAGCCAACCAAGCUAAUCCAAGACGAUUUUCUCAUCUCAAGAUGCUCAACUUAGUUCCCUCAAUGAAGACCCUUUUCCCAAGUGCAGGAUUCCUCUGGACCUGUAAGAAGCUGACGGGCAUUGUGGCCACCGUACGAUGGCGUAGGGGACCUGGCAUUUCCCAGACUCUUUCCCUUCCGACCAGCUGGAAGCUGGAGCUGGGAGCAGCAGUGACCUAGCUUCAACCAUGCAGGUGAUGACGGAGUUACAGGAAGGGAGGAGCUGUGCUCCCUGAAAGACCUGUGGAACAGCGCUGGCCCUCCUGUCUGGGAUGCUUGCACUGGGGCUAAGUGACAAAGACAUAAAGGUAGAUAUUCUUGAAAGCCCUGAAGCUUUGUGUCUCUUUCUUACAGGGCUUGGUCUUACCAUAACCAACAACAGGGGAAUAGUAAUGGCAGUUUAGGACAUUGGAUCACAUGGUGCACAAAAGAGCUUCAACAGCAUCUUUAACAUGGUUUCUUUAAAAAACGCAGAUGGG
rnacentral:lncRNA from 1 species